rnacentral:rRNA from 1 species
CCUACGGGAGGCAGCAGUGGGGAAUAUUGCACAAUGGGCGAAAGCCUGAUGCAGCGACGCCGCGUGAGGGAUGACGGCCUUCGGGUUGUAAACCUCUUUCAGCAGGGACGAAGCGCAAGUGACGGUACCUGCAGAAGAAGCACCGGCUAACUACGUGCCAGCAGCCGCGGUAAUACGUAGGGUGCAAGCGUUGUCCGGAAUUACUGGGCGUAAAGAGUUCGUAGGCGGUUUGUCGCGUCGUUUGUGAAGACCAGCAGCUCAACUGCUGGCUUGCAGGCGAUACGGGCAGACUUGAGUACUGCAGGGGAGACUGGAAUUCCUGGUGUAGCGGUGAAAUGCGCAGAUAUCAGGAGGAACACCGGUGGCGAAGGCGGGUCUCUGGGCAGUAACUGACGCUGAGGAACGAAAGCGUGGGUAGCGAACAGGAUUAGAUACCCUGGUAGUCCACGCCGUAAACGGUGGGCGCUAGGUGUGGGUUCCUUCCACGGAAUCCGUGCCGUAGCUAACGCAUUAAGCGCCCCGCCUGGGGAGGACGGCGCGAGAACGUAACUACAANAGUAGUUAGAGNGNGAGAGNGCGAGGCGACGACGAGGAGAGG